rnacentral:rRNA from 1 species
CCUACGGGAGGCAGCAGUGGGGAAUCUUGCGCAAUGGGCGAAAGCCUGACGCAGCCAUGCCGCGUGAAUGAUGAAGGUCUUAGGAUUGUAAAAUUCUUUCACCGGGGACGAUAAUGACGGUACCCGGAGAAGAAGCCCCGGCUAACUUCGUGCCAGCAGCCGCGGUAAUACGAAGGGGGCUAGCGUUGCUCGGAAUUACUGGGCGUAAAGGGAGCGUAGGCGGAUAGUUUAGUCAGAGGUGAAAGCCCAGGGCUCAACCUUGGAAUUGCCUUUGAUACUGGCUAUCUUGAGUAUGGGAGAGGUAUGCGGAACUCCGAGUGUAGAGGUGAAAUUCGUAGAUAUUCGGAAGAACACCAGUGGCGAAGGCGGCAUACUGGCCCAUUACUGACGCUGAGGCUCGAAAGCGUGGGGAGCAAACAGGAUUAGAUACCCUGGUAGUCCACGCUGUAAACGAUGAGUGCUAGUUGUCGGCAUGCAUGCAUGUCGGUGACGCAGCUACGACAUAAGACACUCCGCCGUCGGGAGGUACGGUCGCGAAGAAGUUAAAACUAACGAAAGAAGUAGACGGCGUGAGACGUGCCGAACGGACGACGACGAGGGAGGAGG